rnacentral:lncRNA from 1 species
GGGACUUUUCCGAGGCUUUAUUUAGGCUAGCUCCAUCAGCGAAGCAUCUCUGCUGCACGUAUUUUGAGUAACUUGGAGGUUGUUGGGAGUCCAUUCGUGAUUUGCGUCCAACAUACUGUUCUCGAGGUUUUUGGGUGUUAAACAUUCUACAGGGAUUGUUAGAUUCUGCGGUUUGGGAAGUAAUUUUCUCAGCCCUCCCUUGUAUUCAUGUUUAAACAUUGCCUUGAAUACUUGUGUUGCAUUGGGUUUCCAGGUGGAACGCAAAACAUAUACACAGCAGGCAACUCAAGAAUCCUUGGGGGUCGCGAUACCGAUUUUAACGUCAACAAAUCCAAAUUAAAAUUCACCAGGCAGUCUUGGUUGCCAGUGGAACUCUGAUGUGAGCAAGGAACCUCAGCCAAUAUUCUUCCUGAGCUGUCACGGUAUUUCAGAGCCAAGGUACUAAAGCCCUCUUCUGACUGCUGACACAUCUGUCAUCAGCUGUCCUCUGCAGGCAAAGGAACUGCGAUGCAAAGGUAUGGAGGGGAGACAGUGGGAUGAGUUCAGGAAACUACAAUUAAUUCAGUGUGGCUAGCAUAGA